AUGCUGCCGUCACAAGCGCGUGAUGUUCCUCUAGAGCGGGAAGAGGACAGCAGCAGCACAGAACAGCCUUCUAGUCAUUUCUGUGCCAGUGCAGAGGGGGGUUGGCGGCACUGCAGAGGAGCAAAAGGACUGAUUAUAAAACCUGUCUAUGUCACAGAAAAAAAGAGAGAGUGUAUGAGAGUGAGAGAACAUCCAGACAGCCAAUCAGGAAGGAAGAGUCUACUAUCAUCACCACGACUCAAAACAACAACAUUGCCGUUUGCCCAUAUUUGGACAUGUUCUUAUUCUGAGUGCAUGGCAAUAAAAAAGUACAACGUAUAAAUUUUUUUUUUUUACAUUUAUGAGUACCAAAGAAAUUAUGAUUAAUAUUAUUGAGCAAUGAGUGAAUAUUUUAUAUUAUGAUAGCCAAUCAGGUGUGUCAAAGUCAAACAGUAAAUAUUUUUAAUUAAUAUAUGUAAGUUAAUUGUAAAUUAAAUGUAAAUUUAACUAUGUAAGUUAAAUGUACGUAUAAUUACUUCAACAUGGUGGGAAAAUCACCACACGCACAUUUGAACAAUCUGUUCUUACUCUGACUUUUAAAAAUACUUUUCUUUGUGUUAUCAAAAUACUUGUAAACAUUUGUUAGACCUUGCACUAAUUAUUAACCCCAAGAAACAAAUUGGCAACUGCAAAAUAAAUAAAGUGCCCAAACUAUUUUUUUUUUUUCAGGCUCUUGACAAAAGCAAAAAAAAAAAAAUAAAUAAAUAAAUAAAAAAUCCUAGCAUUCCUUCUUUUAUUUUUAUUUUAAUUUUUUAGCACCUUUAUUAAUUUGUUAGGCCUUGUAAUUCUUAACACUGGAAAACAAAAGGAGCAAAAUAAUAAAAUAAUGAAAGGGCCAAUAUGUUUCUAGGCACUUAUUAAAUCCCAAAAAAAAAAAAACACACACACACAAAACAACACUGUUAAAUUAUUUCUGUUUUAUGACAGAAAAUGCAGUGGGACAUGUUUGUCACCAUAAUUGUAUAUGAUAGAUAAUGCACAUUAUAAAAUGCAAACUAUAAGUAUACAGUAUUCAUCUCAUGCUAAAAUCUGAGGUGUGUUUAAAGCUUAAACACUGAACAUAUCCACAUCUAUGAUUGUACUGAAACUUAACUAUACUAAACUCACAUGACUGCAUGGCCUUUUGUGACUUACUACUCAGUAUUUACCCCAGUAAACCAAUCCAACACAGGGCUGGUUGUGCAGCACUCAGAGCUUAAAGAAUAAUGACACCACUGGCCAAUGACAAUUAUGUGCAUUUGGUGAACUACUGGCCUUGCUGCCAUUACUGAUACGAUCACAUGUGAUAGAUGACAAACCCCCUAACCCCAGCUUUCUGUGAAAGAAACCCUCGUCACCAGUCACAUGCUCACACUCUAUGACACAUUCUGACUCUGAAGCCCUCUGGGUCACUAAUUAUCCCCAUGACCUUUGACCUGAAGCUGGAUAUAGCCCACCUUCGUCAUGCUGCAGUGAAUACAUUUUUUAAGUUGAUUCGGUACUAAACAAAAAAUUUACAUAAUUUACAUACUAAUAAAUAUUGUUGGACUUAUGUAUGUUUAAGAGCAUUUUUGUUUUCAGAAUCUUAUUGUAAUAACUUUUAUUUGAAUUAUUAAUAGGUUAAAUUUAAGCCUAUGCACUUUCUAGCAGUUUUCACAUUAUGGAAGCUAAAAUGUGUUGCAAAAUUGUUUUUAUGUUAAGUAUAUUUUCAACACCAUGAAUCUUCAAAGCAGGCAUAUACACACCAAACAACCAAAUCAAAGAUUUACAUUUUCAUGCACUUGCCAGAUGCUUUUAUCCAAGGAGACUUGCAUUGUAUAUUAAGGUAAACAGUUUAUCAUUUUACACAUUUACUAGAAAACAAACCCAGAACUAAAUAAAACGUUUUAAUGUGCUUUCGCUUGCAAUAAGGUGAUGCAAAUCUUGGCAAGAAUAUGGGAAGUUUACGUUGUGGAUCCAUAAUUGGGCUAUUGGGAAUUAUGAGUUGUUUUCAUAUCAGGGUUGACUGCUUGCCCACCCAGUCAGAUCCAUGGAAAUACAUAUAUUUGUUAAAAUUUGUUAAAACAUUAAACAAUUUUAAUGUUUAAAUUCUUCACUAAUUACUUUA
ensembl:lncRNA